rnacentral:misc_RNA from 1 species
CAGUGAAUGAAACACGCGGGGAGUUGUCAAAUGCAUGUGGAAGUGGUGUCAAAACAAAAAGUUAUGCGUCAUCCAUGUGUUCUAUGUCAAGGCAACCAGAAUUAGAUGCUCAUGCUCUGUGUGAGCAUGGGCUGACUUCCGUGUCAAAUGUUGCUUUCAAUUCCAUGCCCACUAUGCAUAUAAAUGAGGAAGUGGAACACAUACUGCCAUCUGAUCUUGGUGGGCAAACAUUUUCAAGAUCAUGUCCUGAACCAAUGGCUGGGGGGGGUUCCCCUUGGAGNCCCUUGGAAGAUGUAUGAACAAGGAUUUGCUUCCUUUCUAUCAUUUUGAUGAUAAUUCUCGAGGUAAAAUUUUUGCUCCACACUGGUCCAUGGAGGCUACUAAUGAGGCAGUAGAGAAAGAUGAUGCAUUUAAAGCAUUAUUUCGAGUAAAUGCCCACAAUAGACUUGAGGCAUACUGCAAGAUUGAGGGAGUUUUGACAGAUGUUCUCAUUAGUGGCAUUGCUGCACAGAAUAGAGCUGUGGAAGGGGACAUAGUGGUCAUCAAGGUUGAUCCAUUGCCACUCUGGACUAAGAUGAAAGGGUCAAAUGGACCACCUGUCAAUGUUUCUUUGGCAGAAGAUUGCAAUUUGGUUGUAGAAGCCAGUGAGACAGCUGGUGGUAACUGCAAGGGUAAAAGUAAAGUGGAUGUGGAUUACAAAUAUGCUGAGCCUGAAAGUUUCUCCAUUCCUCAGAAGGGAAUUCAUUAUGAUGAUAGUUCUUGUGCUGGUGAAAGAAUUCACCAGGAGCUGAAUGUUCCAGUGGACUAUAAUUUUGGUAAUGGGUAUCAUCCCUCUGCUUCAGAUUCUUCACAUUUUGGUUAUUCUUCUGGGCAGAGUGAAGUUAUGAAUGGUGUGGACAGGCUAUGUGCUAUGAUUAAUUCAUACCCAUUAAAACGACCAACUGGUAGAGUCGUUGCCAUCAUUGAAAGGUCCCUUCGUCGAGAUGCUAUUGUUGGUUUUUUAAAUGUUAAGCAGUGGUUUUACUACAGGGAAGGUUUUAAAAAAGAUGCAAAAGAGAACAAAAAUUCAUCAUCCAUCUCUGCUUGUGAAUAUAUUCAACUUACACCAACUGAUCCAAAAUUUCCCAAAAUGAUGGUACUUAUGCAAAGCUUGCCUGACUCCAUCAAGAAAAGAUUGGAGAGAGGAGACCCAACAAUUGAGAUGGAGCUGGUAGGUGCACAUAUUGAUAAUUGGGAUGAAGAAAGUCC